UUAUGUCUAUCAGACCCUUUUAGAUCCAAUAUCCUUUCAGAUCGAAGGAAAAGCUCCAUUCAUCCUCCAUGUGGAAGAGGAAAAUAAUAGUGUACUGCUUUUAAUCCUCAUAGAAGAACCAUCCUAAAAUUCCUAAUUUACAACAGAAAAUAAUUGUGAAAGGCCAGUUAGAACUAUUGGGUGCAUUUGAUAUUGAAGAUAAAGCCUCUGAAAUUUGAUGUGAGCCCAAAUCAAGUGACAAGAAACAAUAUCAGAAGUGAAAAGAAAGAAGGUCAAUAAUUUCAAAUACUUUUAUUUGGCUAUAUUUUAGAGCAAUAAUUUCAAUUUUAUAGUUGUUUUUAAUUGAUGACUUUUACAUCAUCCCUACAAUUACUCUCUUUGAAGUAUGUUUUCAUUCAUGUAAUUUAUUCAACCACAUUGGGGCAUUAUACAUGGUUAUCAAAAUCGCGAUUUGGAUCAUAGUCCUACAAUCCUAAAUUGUCAAAACGAUCCAAAUCGUUGUACGAUCGGUGUUAUAGUAGGAUCGCAAGUAGGAUCAUAUGUAGGAUCAUAAGUAGGAUCACUGGAUUUAUGAUUUUUCACCUUAUUUUUAUUAUUCAUCAUUCUAAUUUGUAUUUUUACCUAGAAAGUAGAAUCUUACGAUUCUCAAUCUGAUCCUACAAUCUGAUCCAUGAGACCCUCUCAUCGAUCCUAUGUAGGAUUCCAAUUUUAACAACCUUGGCAUUAUAUGGCCGCAAUGAUUUUUCUCGAUAGCUGAUUUUGGUAAGUUGGAUUAAAAAUGGAUUUACUUAACCUAGGUUUGAAUUUAUGCUAUUAAAUUGGUGAGGUAAUGUAACAUUAAAUUGACGUAUAUGUAUGACUUCCAAGUCUAAAGCUCCACAAAUCGUAUGAGUGAUAGUUUUUUUUUUUUUUUUGGGUACAAGGAACAAAAUCCACUAUUUAAGUGGUUAUAUGGGUUCGAUCGCCCCCCCCCCCCAAAAAAAAA